GUGCUUGCUUCAGUGUCACAUACACGAAAAUUGGAAUGAUGCAGAGAAUGUUAACAUGGCACUUGUACUAGGGUGACAUGCAAAUUCAUGAAGUGUUCCAUGUUAAA